rnacentral:rRNA from 1 species
AGUGAACGCUGGCGGCGUGCCUAAUACAUGCAAGUCGAACGAUGAAGCUUCUAGCUUGCUAGAAGUGGAUUAGUGGCGCACGGGUGAGUAAGGUAUAGUUAAUCUGCCCUACACAAGAGGACAACAGUUGGAAACGACUGCUAAUACUCUAUACUCCUGCUUAACACAAGUUGAGUAGGGAAAGUUUUUCGGUGUAGGAUGAGACUAUAUAGUAUCAGGUAGUUGGUGGGGUAACGGCCCACCAAGCCGACGAUCAGUAGCCGACCUGAGAGGGUGACCGGCCACAUUGGGACUGAGACACGGCCCAA